CGGCGGGGCGGGGCGCGCCCCGCGCCGAGCCGAGCGGGCCAACCCGCUAUUGCUGCCCGCGGAAUGGGAGAGAUUUGUUUGUUUGUUAAUAAUCUUUCCUUCUCUCAACUCCUCCUCCCUCACCCAAAAAUAGAAAGAAAGUCGGAAGGCCAAGUCUCAAAAAACGCCCCCGCGAGAAAACAAGUGUGUGUUUCGGCGCCCUGAAACGUAGAGUUGGAAGAGUCGCCUGAAUGUAGACUAUUUAGUGUCCAAGGAAUUGGGGCCAGAGUCUCGCUGCCUGUGUGGAAGAUGAAAAAGAGUGAAGAAAGAAGCUACCUAGGAAGAGGCAUUGAAAGGGCUGAUCAAGUGCCACUAAAUAUGCUGCCUUCACAGUUUUAUCCAGGGUUCUCAGGUGUAUGGUGGCAAGACAGCUAAUAACCCUGCGCCAUGACUUUUCUCAUCUUUGAAAUAGCAAUCAUGAUAACUACCUUCCCAAAUUGAUGUGAAUCUCACAUGAAAUAAUGAGGACCUCAAGAGAAAUUUCUUUUGACAAUAUUUAUUCCAAGAAUGAGCGAAAUUCCCAGGACACUUUUUUUACAUCACAUGGAUACUGGGUAUUGGAUAACAAAGUUUCUGUUUUCACACUGACUGCUGGAGAAAUUGAGACCCAAAUGUGGAGCUCACCUGUUGAGUAGGUCAUCACGGAUUUCACACAUGUAGAAGAGAUGUCAAUGGAGAAACCCUUGUUAAAGAGCCUGCAGUGUGUGAGGUGAGAGGUGAGGAAUUGCCUGCUUGACCCUUCCUUAGGUAGCUCCUGUGGUUCCUCCAGGGAAUUCUAGAGACACUUUGUAGAAAUGGUGGAAACCUUGGUCCUGGCUCUGCUACUCUGUGCAGGGUUAAGCAAAUCUCUUUUCUCAACCUUAAAAACAAUGAACUUGGCUGUCAGGGGUAAUACACAGAAACCAAAAAGCUUUAUAAUGCAAGCAGUAGUCAAGACAAUUAAAAGAAAUGUCCAUGACUAUGCCAUUUCAAUGUUCUGUUGUUGUAUUAGGCCAAUAAUUUUUUAUGUUUCCUUAGAAAAAUUUGUUUUAUGAUGUUAGAUAAAAGAAUCUAGGAUUGAUUAACAAUUAGAACAAUUGUGUGUCAUUUGCA